AUCACACUAUUUAGUCUUAAAAAAUCUGUGGCCAAGUGUGGAUAGUUCAUAUGUUAUUUGACCUGACGGUGUGAGAGACCGAGGUUACCAUUUAUGUUAUACUUAACGGAGUUGUAUGUGAAUAUUGAUUAUGAAAGAGAACAAAUCAGGUUGCAACAACUUUUUGACGAAAUUGUUGCUAAUUCCGAACCAGAACCGUACAGUGCGGUGCAGUGGAGUGUAUAA
rnacentral:lncRNA from 1 species